rnacentral:rRNA from 1 species
ACGCUGGCGGCGUACUUAACACAUGCAAGUCGAACGGGGAUCAUCGGGUUAGCAAUAAUUCGGUGGUUCUGGUGGCGCACGGGUGAGUAACACGUGGGUAACCUGCCCUGGAGACCGGGAUACCCCCUCGAAAGGGGGGCUAAUACCGGAUACGUUCCUCGGGUCGACAGAUCUGAGGAGGAAAGGUGGCGAAAGCUGCCGCUCUUGGAGGGGCUCGCGGCCUAUCAGCUAGUUGGCGGGGUAACGGCCCACCAAGGCGAUGACGGGUAGCUGGUCUGAGAGGACGACCAGCCACACGGGGACUGAGACACGGCCCCGACUCCUACGGGAGGCAGCAGUGGGGAAUUUUCCGCAAUGGGCGAAAGCCUGACGGAGUGACGCCGCGUGUGGGACGAAGGCCUUCGGGUCGUAAACCACUGUCAGUGGGAAAGAAGGGUGUCGGCGUGAUAACCGCUGGCGCCUGACGGUACCUGCAGAGGAAGCCCCGGCUAACUCUGUGCCAGCAGCCGCGGUAAGACAGAGGGGGCAAGCGUUGCUCAGAAUUACUGGGCGUAAAGGGCGCGUAGGCGGGAUGGCAAGUCGGUCGUGAAAUCCCUCGGCUCAACUGAGGAACGUCGAUCGAUACUGCCGUUCUUGAGGAUUGCAGAGGAGACUGGAAUUCCCGGUGUAGCGGUGAAAUGUGUAGAGAUCGGGAGGAACACCGGUGGCGAAGGCGGGUCUCUGGGCAAUUCCUGACGCUGAGGCGCGAAAGCGUGGGGAGCAA